rnacentral:rRNA from 1 species
GUAGGUGAACCUGCGGAAGGAUCAUUAUCUU